UACGAAGGGGGCUAGCGUUGCUCGGAAUCACUGGGCGUAAAGCGCACGUAGGCGGCUUUUUAAGUCAGGGGUGAAAUCCUGGAGCUCAACUCCAGAACUGCCUUUGAUACUGAGAAGCUUGAGUCCGGGAGAGGUGAGUGGAACUGCGAGUGUAGAGGUGAAAAUUCGUAGAUAUUCGCAAGAACACCAGUGGCGAAGGCGGCUCACUGGCCCGGUACUGACGCUGAGGUGCGAAAGCGUGGGGAGCAAACAGGG
rnacentral:rRNA from 1 species